rnacentral:rRNA from 1 species
UGAGGAAUAUUGGUCAAUGGGCGAGAGCCUGAACCAGCCAAGUAGCGUGCAGGAUGACGGCCCUAUGGGUUGUAAACUGCUUUUAUGUGGGGAUAAAGUGCGUAACGUGUCAUGCAUUGCAGGUACCACAUGAAUAAGGACCGGCUAAUUCCGUGCCAGCAGCCGCGGUAAUACGGAAGGUCCGGGCGUUAUCCGGAUUUAUUGGGUUUAAAGGGAGCGUAGGCUGUCUAUUAAGCGUGUUGUGAAAUAUACCGGCUCAACCGGUGGCUUGCAGCGCGAACUGGUCGACUUGAGUAUGCAGGAAGUAGGCGGAAUUCAUGGUGUAGCGGUGAAAUGCUUAGAUAUCAUGACGAACUCCGAUUGCGCAGGCAGCUUACUGUAGCAUAACUGACGCUGAUGCUCGAAAGUGCGGGUAUCAAACAGG